CCCAUCGGCCGUUGGGAACGGGCGGGGCGCGUUAGUUCCCCCGUGGCGGCGGGAGGCGAUUGCUGCUGCCCGAGGAGCCAGGACGGAGCGGCUCGGGCCCCGCCACCGCCGCACCCGGCUUCACGGGGCCGGCAAAGCUCUGAAAUGACUGCUUCCCUCUCCCCAGCGGGACGGCGCUUCCUGCAGCCCCGGCCUCCCUCUCGUGCUGCCCGCAGAGGGGCCUGCGUCCCGGCCUCACACAGAAUCACAGAGUGUUACGGAUUGGAAGGGACCUAAGAUCACCUAGUCCCAUCCCCCUGCCGGCGCAGGAACACUUGGAUGAGGCUACACAAUAAUGCAUCCAGGGUGACCACUCCUCUAGGCCUGGCUUUCCCACUGCCUGCUUCUUGCAUUACUUGGCCCUGACAGCUGGGACCUGCAUUGUUCUCAUUGAAGGCCUGACCUUGCUUACUUAGUCCCUACAGGCACAGAACUGAUCACCUAAAAAAGGUCAAAGUAUCGAUAAUCAGUAACUUCUUGAUUCUGUGCAGGCAACAGCUUUUGCUACAUUAUUGCUUGUCCAGGAAAACAGCUACUGCUAGUGAGCGUUGCCUUCCACCUUUCUGCAAGGCAGCAAGCUUCUUGCUCCUCAUUAUUUGAAUAUAUGCAAAGGAAACAGUAUAGGUUAUAUCUUUGAAGGAAAGACUUAAUUCUCAUUAACAAGCUUCUCAGUGUACCUAUAUAAAAUUUAGACACAGCAGAGCAAGCUCAGAAUAUACUAAUUACAUGUGAUAAAUGCUUAUUUCUGUCAGGGUACACAUGAUGCAGUUAACUGUUUAAAAGUCUGCUCCUUAUAGCACACGCAAUAACCUGAAACAAGCUUAAACCUGAAAUAAGCAACACUGCUUUCCUUAGAAGGGCACAAGAUUUCAACAAAAGAGCUAUAAAGGGCACACUUAAGACACAGUUGACACCUGAUCAAGAGACUGGAUAGUUUUUCAUUCUGGUGACAAGCCACUCAUAUAUUACUGUCUACUUCUGAGUUUGUAGAAGGUCACACCGUGUCUUCAUGGAUGCAGUGACACGCAGGAACAUCAGUGUAGUGUGUAAGGAAGUUGGUUCAUUCUGCCUGUUACAAGUCACUAAAAGCUCACUGAAUUAUUUAUGUGGCUUUUAGGGAAGGAAAUGUCUAUCUUAGCUAUGAUCAAUGUCCUAAACUUUCAGUAUUUAUCAAGAACUUGCUAGUGCUACUGAAUGCUCACAGAGGUUUAAAACCAACAGUGUCUACAUGGGGGUUCAGAUGCACUGCAGGUCCAUACUCUUGGUGAAAGAUCUGAAAAUUUUAAGGAACAGGCCACUACAUGAUGACAUCUAGAAGACUUCUUUUAGAUGAAAACUUAAGCAUCUCAAAUAUUUGGAAUACCACUUUGAAAGCACGCAUUAUCUGAUAUACAAAGUAUACUCUAAAAUGUAAGCCUGGAAAAUAGGUGUUCUUGGCAGGUGAGCAUAUGGAAGUUCCGCUCUGUAGAGAGAGAAGGCUGAAUGGUAGUUUUGGGAACCCCUACUUUCCUUGGUGUUCCUGUUCAGCAGCAGGCCCUUUUCCAUUGUAAGGAGAUCUCUAUCUCAGUUUUUGCUUCCCCACUAACAUGGCAGCACCAGGUAACAAUAAAGCAUCAGGCAGCUGGCAGCCACAAGUAAGCAGCACAUGGCUUAGGGCAGCAUGUGCUGCUUGCACCAUUUCUCAUCUCCUGGUAGGGAGAGGGUGAAUGAGAGUAUUCUGCAUGCUGGAUUCAUGCUGUCAACAAGAAUGUGGUAUCCUGUAUAAGUGAUUUUUUGAAGUGCCAUUGUUAGUCAAGAUGUCUUUCAUUCUCUCAAUGAAGAGUCUGCUUGUUACACAUACCUGACACACGAAGUCCGUGACUAUUCUGUGAAAUCUGGAAUUCUUGAAUCCAAAUCCUUUCUCUCCUGUGCACAGGGCUCUGAAAUUUUCCGCAGUUCGAGGGACAAUAUUUGAAAAUAGCUCCAUAGUUAUGUGCCCUAAAGGUUCAUCAUCAGCAGAAACUUCAAAAUACACAACGGGAUUGGUGUCCUUUGACAGUCCUGCUGCCAGAGAUAGAUGUCCCUUCUGUAGUUCUGACAAGCUUAGCUGGCAUUCU